rnacentral:tRNA from 1 species
GGCUCGUUGGUCUAGGGGUAUGAUUCUCGCUUUGGGUGCGAGAGGUCCCGGGUUCAAAUCCCGAGCUCAAAUCCCGGGCGAGCCC